rnacentral:rRNA from 1 species
AAUCAACGCUGGCGGCGUGCCUCAGACAUGCAAGUCGAACGCGAAAGUUCCCUUCGGGGAAUAAGUAGAGUGGCGCACGGGUGAGUAACACGUAGGUAAUCUACCUUCGGGUGGGGAAUAACCCAGGGAAACUUGGGCUAACACCGCAUGAUGCAGCGGCACCACAUGGUGACAGUUGUUAAAGCGGGGGAUUUUCGGACCUCGCGCCUGAAGAGGAGCCUGCGGCGGAUUAGCUAGUUGGUAAGGUAACGGCUUACCAAGGCGACGAUCCGUAGCCGGCCUGAGAGGGCGGUCGGCCACACUGACACUGACAUACGGGUCAGACUCCUACGGGAGGCAGCAGUCGGGAAUUUUGGGCAAUGGGCGAAAGCCUGACCCAGCAACGCCGCGUGAAGGAUGAAAUCCCUCGGGAU